UCUGCCUUAGGGUCGGGGACAACCACCGGAAACAGUGGCUAAUACCGGAUGUGCCGAGAGGUGAAAGAUUUAUUGCCAUAAGAGGAGCUCGCGUCUGAUUAGCUAGUUGGUAGGGUAAAAGCCUACCAAGGCAACGAUCAGUAGCUGGUCUGAGAGGAUGAGCAGCCACACUGGGACUGAGACACGGCCCAGACUCCUACGGGAGGCAGCAGUGGGGAAUUUUCCGCAAUGGGCGAAAGCCUGACGGAGCAAUACCGCGUGAGGGAGGAAGGCUUUUGGGUUGUAAACCUCUUUUAUCAGGGAAGAAGAAAGUGACGGUUCCUGAAGAAAAAGCAUCGGCUAACUCCGUGCCAGCAGCCGCGGUAAUACGGAGGAUGCAAGCGUUAUCCGGAAUUAUUGGGCGUAAAGCGUCCGUAGGUGGUACCUCAAGUCGGCUGUUAAAGACCAGGGCUUAACUCUGGGCAGGCAGUGGAAACUGAGGAACUAGAGGGCAGUAGGGGUAAGAGGGAAUUCCCGGUGUACCGGUGAAAUGCGUAAAUUUCGGGAAGAACAUCGGUGGCGAAGGCGCUCUCUGGCUGAACCUGCACUGAGGGACCAAAGCUUGGGGAGCGAAUGGGAUUAAAUAC
rnacentral:rRNA from 1 species